UGUUUCUGGAAGGCAAAAACAGACCCUUCCAGAACGAUCUCACAUACUCUCUGAGCUGCUCCCCCCCGAAACCUUUACUUUUUAACUGUUUUCCAUCUUCCCGUUGUUUGUUGGCUCUCUCUCUAGGUUUCACCAGCUUUGUUACCCUCUGAUCGUGAUCGGCCUGACCCAAUUUCUAUUGCUGCUACAUAGAAAGAGAGAAUGCCAGCUUACAUGUGGAAAAGUUUCUUUGAGGAUGAAGACAGGCCGGAAAAACCAAGAAGAUUCGGAGUUACAGAGAUGAGGGGACCCAAUUACAGUCUCAUGAACCAAAACGUUAUUCAGGAUAUUUUAGAGUCUAUGGGGCAGUUUGUUGAUGGCUUGAAGUUUUCUGAGGGCUCGCACAGUUUAAUGGCAAAGAAUGCGAUUAAAAAAAUAACUGAGCUGGCACACAGCCACGAUGUUUAUGUGAGUACUGGUGAUUGGGCAGAACACAUACUUCGCAAGGGACCCACAGCUUUUGAAGAGUAUGUUCACGAAUGCAAGAAUUUGGGGUUUGACACAGUGGAGCUAAAUGCUGGUUCUCUGAGAAUAUCUGAGGAGCAUCUCUGGAGAUUUAUCCGAUUGAUUAAAAAAGCGGGUCUCAAAGCUAAGCCCAACUUUGGAGUGAGAUUUGAGGCUUCAGAUAUUCCGGUUGCUGGUGAUAGAGCAUAUGGAGCUUAUAUCCUUCCAGUUUCCCGGAAGUUGGACUUAGUUGAAGAUGUGGAUCUAUUGAUAAGAAGGGCUGAGAGGUGCUUGGAAGCAGGGGCAGAUAUGAUAAUGAUUGAUGCUGAUGGUGUGAGCAAAUACGCAGACUCUCUUAGGGCUGAUCUUGUUGCCAAGAUUGUAGGGCGCCUAGGCCUCGAGAAAACCAUGUUCGAAGCAUCCACCCCUGAGACCUCUGAAUGGUUCAUAAAGCGCUAUGGACCAAAGGUGAAGAGUUUUUUUUAGGAAUGGAUCAGCUUGGGUUUCUCAAGUUCCAAAAACGUGGGGGUGUAACAUGCGCUAAAUUUGGAUGAAAAUCUGAACUCCAAAGUAUAUUAAUGGAAAACCUUCAAUGCAUAGUGCUUAUCAUUGUCCAACCAAAAGAGAUAAAGGAGGUUUUUCAGCCAUCUACAUAUGCGAAUCAUCUAUUAAAUUAAACCCGGGUACUUGGAUUCAGCAGCAGUUGUGCAUGCUGUGCUGAGACAGUAAGGCUUUAUUGGAAUGGAGGAUCAGUAUGCCCCUAUUGAAUGAUGAGUCAUGUAUUAAUGGAAAAAUAGGAUUUGAAUGGAAGCGAAAAGCAAAGAAUCAUUUAUCAAUUGUUCCAGAUAUAACCCUAUUGCCCAAAUUUUUGGAGGCAGUGUAGUCAUAUAUCAGUGGGAAGGUGAACCUCUUUGUUGAUCAUUCUCAGGUGAUGAAGCUGGAGUGUCUAAGAGGAGGUAACUUGGGCAAGAAUCACACAUCACUGCUUGGUUC